UAGAUCACAAGUGGGUCAAGUACAGGGA
rnacentral:piRNA from 1 species